rnacentral:rRNA from 1 species
UAGCGGAACUCCUACGGGAGGCAGCAGUGGGGAAUUUUGGACAAUGGGGGCAACCCUGAUCCAGCAAUGCCGCGUGAGUGAAGAAGGCCUUCGGGUUGUAAAGCUCUUUUGUCAGGGAAGAAACGGUAGUAGCUAAUAUCUAUUACUAAUGACGGUACCUGAAGAAUAAGCACCGGCUAACUACGUGCCAGCAGCCGCGGUAAUACGUAGGGUGCAAGCGUUAAUCGGAAUUACUGGGCGUAAAGCGUGCGCAGGCGGUUUUGUAAGUCUGUCGUGAAAGCCCCGGGCUUAACCUGGGAAUUGCGAUGGAGACUGCAAGGCUUGGGUCUGGCAGAGGGGGGUAGAAUUCCACGUGUAGCAGUGAAAUGCGUAGAGAUGUGGAGGAACACCGAUGGCGAAGGCAGCCCCCUGGGUCAAGAUUGACGCUCAUGCACGAAAGCGUGGGGAGCAAACAGGAUUAGAUACCCUAGUAGUCCACUUAUG